CCAUUUUGAAUUCAGGCUUUAACAACAAAAUGUGGAACAGGUCAAAGUGGUAUAAAUACUUUGACGGGACUGUAUGAAUGUAGAUAAUAGAAAGUGUUGCUGAACAUUUUAUUUGUUUUCGAAUAUUUUAUAAUAAUAAAAAAUAACAUUAAUCUCAGAAGUAAAACUCAAUAGAAAACAGCACUGAUGGUGAUAGAAAUAUAGAUGUUUUAUAACAAAAAUGACAUUACGUCUGGUAAAUGACUCAAAUAUAAAAAGGUACAACUCCAUAGAAAGCACUGGUUAAGAUUGAUAUAGAUGUUUAUGUUUUUGUAUUGGGAAAAAAAAAACAUUCCACCCAGUAGUAAAAUUCAAUGUUUAUUGGCCACACAUCAAAACAGUAUGUUUUUCAUUUCAAGAGGGAAUGUAUAAGGUAUAGACUAUGAAAGUGCAAAUAGUAUUUCAAGGAUUAGUUGCUUUAUAAUAAAAAUCUAAUGGCUUUCAACAACAUUUGCCUUUUUAAAAUUUUUAUAUAUUUUGUAAAAAGUAAAAUGCCAAGAAAAUCCAAAUUCAAAUGUAAUUUCAUGUUUUACUCAUUUCAUGCACAGCUGAAACUGUUACAUCAAGGACAAAUCAAUUAUCAUGACUGAAGUCCCACAAGUUCACCAGCUUCGUGUACGGAACUCACAGCUUGACGUUUGCAAGACCACGCUUCAAUGCAAUAAGUUUCUUCAGCUAUUCUUCAAUAGUCACUUUACAAUUAUGUCCAAUACAAAUCACACUAGGUUUGGCUAAAGAUCAAUUCCUUCCAAUACAAAUCACACUAGGUUUGGCUAAAGAUCAAUUCCUUCCAAUACAAAUCACACUAGGUUUGGCUAAAGAUCAAUUCCAAAAUGUGAAACAUUGAAAUAUCAAUAUCAUUUAUAAUUCAUUAAUACUUUAUAUAGGCAACAAAUCAAUACAACUAUUUUUUCUUUCAAAAUUAGUUAUUCAGUAUAUCUCGAUAUCCAUUUUCAAAUCGUAAUUAGAAACUUUCAAUUUAAUUAAAUACGUCUGUUUUCCCCCCACUGUCCUGCAUUGUGUUUUCUGCUCCAGGAUACAUUUUAUAAAUACUUUUCCCCUAAAAGUCAAACACUCGUUAUCAACUUGUAGAUCAGUUAUCGAACCCACAGAUAAUCCAAGAACAACCCACCAAAGCCCAUCCGCAACGAAAUAACUAACAAACCAGUAAAACAGUAUUCAAUAUCAUCAGGUCAAAAUCAGAGAUGUAAUUUAUAAAACAUUAUAUAAAAUAAAACACUCUGGGGAAAGAACUUGAUACCACACUAAAGAGAGGCUACAAUUAUAAAAAUUUAUUUUUAAAAAAAGUAUCAGGUUUGGACACGUGUUAGUGUUGUGAGUGGAAUUUCUAUAACGUGUGUUUGUAGUUUGUACACUACAUGACCAAAAGUAUGUGGACACCUGCCCGUCCAACAUCUCAUUGCAAAAAACAUGGGUAUUACAUAUGGAGUUGGUCCUCCCCUUUGCUGCUAUAACAGCCUCCUCUCUUCUGGGAAGGCUUUCACUAGAUGUAGGAACAUUGCUGCUAUAACAGCCUCCACUCUUCUAGGAAGGCUUUCCACUAGAUGUUGGAACAUUGCUGCUAUAACAGCCUCCUCUCUUCUAGGAAGGCUUUCCACUAGAUGUUGGAACAUUGCUGCUAUAACAGCCUCCUCUCUUCUGGGAAGGCUUUCCACUAGAUGUUGGAACAUUGCUGCUAUAACAGACUCCUCUCUUCUGGGAAGGCUUUCCACUAGAUGUUGGAACAUUGCUGAGGGGACUUUCUUCCAUUCAGUCACAAGAGCAUUAGUGAGGUCAGUGCAUUGAUGUUGGGCGAUUAGGCCUCCUGGCUCGCAGUCUGCGUUCCAAUUCAUCCCAAAGGUGUUCGAUGGGGUUGAGGUCAGGGCUCUGUGCAGGCCAGUCAAGUUCUUCUACACUGAUCUCGACAAACCAUUUCCGUAUGGACCUCGCUUUGUGAACGGGGGCAUUGUCAUGCUGAAACAGGAAAGGGCCUUCCCCAAAACAUUUGUCUCAAAGUUGGAAGCAGAGAAUCAUCUUGAAUGUCAUUGUCUGCUGUAGCAUUAAGAUUUCCCUUCACUGGAACUAAGGGACCCGAACCAUGGAAAACAGCCCCAGACCAUUAUUCUUCCUCCACCAAACUUUACAGUUGGCACUAUGCAUUCAGGCAGGUAGCGUUCUCCUGGCAUUCGCCAAACCCAGAUUCAUCCGUCAGACUGCCAGAUGGUGAAGCGUUUCCACUACUCCAGAAUCCAAUGGUGGUGAGCUUUACACCACUCCAGCCGACGCUUGGCUUUGCGCAUGGUGAUCUUAGGCUUGUGUGCGGCUGCUCGGCCAUGGAAACCCAUUUCAUGAAGCUCCCAACGAACAGUUCUUGUGCUGACGUUGCUUCCAGAGGCAGUUUGAAACUCGGUAGUGAGUGUUGCAACCGAGGUCAGACGAUUGUUACGUGCCAAGCGCUUCAGCACUCGGGUGGUCCCGUUCUGUGAGCUUAUGUGGCCUACCACUUAGCGGCUGAGCCGCUCUGUAAUAACAGAACUUACAGUUGACCGGGGGGCAGCUCUAGCAGGGCAGAAAUUUGACAAACUGACUUGUUGGAAAGGUGGCAUCCUACGAUGGUGCCACGUUGAACGUCAAUGAGCUCUUCACUAAGGCAAUUCUACUACCAGUGUUUGUCUAUGGAGAUUGCAUGGAGGCAUGCUCAAUUUUAUACACCUGUCGGCAACAGAUGUCUGAAAUAGACGAAUCCACUCAUUUGAAGGGGUGUCCACAUACUUUUGUAUAUAUAGUGUAGCUAGACACGAUUACUUACUGUAAGACCUCUGUAAAAUGUGGCAAUACAUUUAAAAAGAUUGACAUAAAGGCACUGUAAUGAAUUGCGUAGAGAACCAUUUUUUACCCCUCUACUGUAGUUGCUGAGUCCCAUCAAGGCUUAAAACUUUCGUAACAGGUUUAUAUAUAUAUAUCUUUAUAAAACGGGCCGGUUUCCUCAUUCGGCCUAAACCUAGUUCUGGGCUAGAGAGCAGUGGUGAAUGGACAUUCUCCAUUGAAAGUGAUGUUUAGUCCAGGACCAAGGGGUCGUCUGAGAAAGCAGCCCUAUAAUAGUUCAGAAUGAACCAGUGACAUCAUUAUUAGGUAAAAAACAUGAACAACGUAUCUGAUUACAAUUCUCCUCUUAACUACUGUUGUUUUCCUAUUGGAGUGAACAGCAGCAGAUUGUUCCUCUCUAUUGUCCCUUCAGGGCUACUGGCCUCGUCCAUCUUCAUGAAGACAGUCUUCUAAUGGGUUCUAGCCUCGUCCAUCUUCACGAAGACAGUCUUCUAAUGGGUUCUGGCCUCGUCCAUCUUCACGAAGACAGUCUUCUAAUGGGUUCUAGCCUCGUCCAUCUUCACGAAGACAGUCUUCUAAUGGGUUCUGGCCUCGUCCAUCUUCAUGAAGACAGUCUUCUAAUGGGUUCUGGCCUCGUCCAUCUUCAUGAAGACAGUCUUCUAAUGGGUUCUAGCCUCGUCCAUCUUCAUGAAGACAGUCUUCUAAUGGGUUCUAGCCUCGUCC
ensembl:lncRNA